rnacentral:lncRNA from 1 species
AAAUUCAAAAAGGAGAUUUUGUAUGAUGGCCAAUAAAACAAUAUUAUAGGUACAAAUGUACAUGAAACUGUACAGCCUUCAACAUGACAUCUUGAUACAUGCUUCAACUUCUGAAUGUUUAGUGUAUCAGUGGCCUAGAAUAUAGAUUUCACUUUGACGACAGAAAACAAUUUUUAAUGAAUUAUUCAGAAAUACAACAAACUACCACAUUAUCCUUUAAUAUUUACUGAAAAAUCAUUCAGCUGGAUUCACUACACAAUUACAAGCUAGGAGAAAAGUUUGGACAAUCCGCUCAAAAUCUGACUGUCUAAUUAUAAAUGUAUAUAUUCUACACAAUUCAUACACACUUCUAAAAAUAUCCCAAAU